rnacentral:rRNA from 1 species
GACGUAGGAGGCAAGCGUUAUCCGGAGUUACUGGGCGUAAAGCGCGUGUAGGCGGAUUGGUAAGUGGUUCGUGAAAUAUCCGGGCUAAACUCGGAGGGGACGAAUCAGACUACUAGUCUGGAGGCGGGUAGAGGGGUGCGGAAUUCCGGGUGUAGCGGUGAAAUGUGUAGAUAUCCGGAGGAACACCAGAGGUGCAGACGGCGCCCUGGGCCCGACCUGACGCUGAGACGCGAAAGCUUGGGGAGCGAACGGG